AGUCCACCGCCUGAGGACUACGGCCGCAAGGCUAAAACUCAAAGGAAUUGACGGGACCCCGCACAAGCAGCGGAGCGUGUGGUUUAAUUCGAUGCAACACGAAGAACCUUACCAGGGCUUGACAUGCAGGUGGUAGGGAGCCGAAAGGUGACCGACCCUUCGGGGAGCCUGCACAGGUGCUGCAUGGCUGUCGUCAGCUCGUGUCGUGAGAUGUUCGGUUAAGUCCGCCAACGAGCGCAACCCUCGCCGUGUGUUACAUGUGUCACACGGGACCGCCGGCCUUAAGCCGGAGGAAGGUGAGGAUGACGUCAAGUCAGCAUGGCCUUUAUGUCCUGGGCUACACACACGCUACAAUGGUCGGUACAAUGGGUCGCGAAGCCGCGAGGCGGAGCCAAUCCCCCAAAGCCGGCCUCAGUUCAGAUUGCAGGCUGCAACCCGCCUGCAUGAAGACGGAGUUGCUAGUAACCGCAGGUCAGCCCAUACUGCGGUAA
rnacentral:rRNA from 1 species